CCUGUCCUCAUGUGAUCCACCUGCCUCGGCCUCCCAAAGUGCAGGGAUUACAGGCGUGAGCCACUGCGCCUGGCCUACAGUUGUAUAAAGUCAGGACAAAACAAAGUCCACUAUCCAAAGAUCUUAUUCUGUAAACCUUCUAAGAUUCUCUAGUCAUGAGAUAGUGGGCAGUUCCAUCGGUUUCAGUUGGUCCUAAAAUUUUCUUUAGAUAGCCUUUGGUAAUGAGAUUUAAUGAUCAAAUGGUGAACUUCAGUAUGUACGUGCUAGUCUUCCUACUCAGAUAUGCCAAAGUAUUAGCCCUCUAAUAUAGAAUCUUUCUUAUGAAUGGCUGGAGAAUUCACUAAGUUAGAUAGAUACACUAAGAGGAAAAUAACCUUUAAAUACAAAUAAUUGUAUUUUCCCUUAACCCCAGGCUAUUCUGCAUCUAAAUUUGUUUCAAUCUGUUCUAAGAUAUUACUAUAGAUGACAAUACUGUAGUCUUUAUUGAUCUUUUGUACCCGCAGUACAGGGGGACAUUUACUCUCCUCUUUUCUCUUUUCUCAGUUGUUAUCUUUUUCUAAAUCCAGUCUCUUUCUUAUAGUUAUACAAGUUGUUUGUUUUAUAAUUAUUUUCUUAAAACUCUACAUGUAUGUUUUUAUACUUUUAUUAUUGCAUAUUCUUAAUAAAAAAAGUUAAAAACUUGGAAAGUUUUACAUGUUUUGAGAUGUACAGUAGCAAAGGGUGACAUUCAAAAAUGUAGUUUCUUUAUCCUGAUCUUCAACAUUUCUUUGUACUCCUCAUUUAUAGUUUUGUCGACAAUCUGAUGUCACUGUCACUGAAACAGAAGUUACAUGGUCAGGAGGAAACAAGACCAUAAGGAAAACUUUAUUCCAGUUGCUUUAAUAUUGACUAAAAUGUUUGCACACCUGUUAAGAUUUAUUACCAAAAUAACCUAUAAAUUACGCCUACAUAAAUAUGUGUUCUGAAGUAAGUUAUAGUUUAACCUUAAUUAGAUAGAUAAACUAUAAAAAAAAAAAGUGUACUAGUUUUU